GUUUAAGGCAAUCCCUUAUCUUGCCAUUGACAUGCCUUCUUUGUUUUCUGGGUUUCCACAAACUUCUUGAGAUUUUUUUCUUACACCAAACCUUGCCAUUUUCCUCUCUAUCGCUCUAGGCAGGAUGUUUCACAAGCUGUUUUAGGAUAAAUCCAUCAAGGGGGACAAGACCCAGGGCGCCAACCCUUAUACCAAGCACACCUUGUUGAAGAGUCCCGCUUCCACUCCUGCUAGUUCUUCUUCCACUGGGGAUCCCAAAGGCAAGCAACAGAUUGAUCCCAUCGCCGCACCUACAAAAUGAGUUAAGGGACAGACCGCCCCCUUGCUUCUCCUACCCUGCAACCUGCUACCAAGGUAGGGACGUCUCACCCUGCUAAAGAGAGGUCUGCAAAGAAGAGAUUCCUUCCUGAUCGAAUUCAGAAUGAAUAACACUCUCUGUUGCUAGAAGAAGGUGAAACGGUUUGGUUACUAAAUUUCAGAAGGAGAUCUAACCACCCCUAGAUCAUACCUACAUGAAUGCUCUGCCAAGAGCUAAAGCCCUGGGUUUAUUUGCUUUCUACCUUUGUAGGGUGACCGUGUUGGGGGUGGCCUGCUCUGUUGGUUAGAGCAAGGAAACCUAUUGUCUAAAGAACCCUCAAAAGGGUAGGAGAGCUAGAGAAAGUGAUGCAGGAGAGGAACUGGGUUCGUGAGGAGGACGCUGCGAGCAUCCGCCAUCUAAAGGAGGAAUUCACCAUGAAGGAACCGAUACAAGCCUAGGAUGUUAAAUGAGCAAUGAAGAUGAUAAAUAAAAUAUUAAAACAAUAUUAUAUCCCACAUCAACUGGGUUAUUCAUGCACUUGCACACCAACUAGUUGAUGCAAAUCAAAGGAUAAAUACCUCUUUGAGAGUAUUGGAGAGUCCUAUCUUCAAAAGCUCUCAUCCAAUAAUAGUUUCUUACUUUGUCCACACAAGAGCAGAGAUAUGCUCUCUAGCAAGUCUACACAAAACACAAACUUUUGUCUCUUUGAGCCUUGCUAGAAACUCAAGAGGGUGAGACUGAAACAACACUUUUAUGAAGUGAAAAGUGUUCAA